AGUGAACGCUGGCGGUAGGCCUAACACAUGCAAGUCGAACGGCAGCACAGUAAGAGCUUGCUCUUACGGGUGGCGAGUGGCGGACGGGUGAGGAAUACAUCGGAAUCUACUUUUUCGUGGGGGAUAACGUAGGGAAACUUACGCUAAUACCGCAUACGACCUACGGGGGAAAGCAGGGGAUCUUCGGACCUUGCGCGAUUGAAUGAGCCGAUGUCGGAUUAGCUAGUUGGCGGGGUAAAGGCCCACCAAGGCGACGAUCCGUAGCUGGUCUGAGAGGAUGAUCAGCCACACUGGAACUGAGCCACGGUCCAGACUCCUACGGGAGGCAGCAGUGGGGAAUAUUGGACAAUGGGCGAAAGCCUGAUCCAGCCAUACCGCGUGGGUGAAGAAGGCCUCCGGGUUGUAAAGCCCUUUUGUUGGGAAAGAAAAGCAGCAGGUUAAUACCCCGCUGUUCUGACGGUACCCAAAGAAUAAGCACCGGCUAACUUCGUG
rnacentral:rRNA from 1 species